AAAAUAAAAAACUAAACUAAAACUAAAGAGCCCAUACCAUUAGCCUCUAAACCCUUGAAAAUUCUCUCAACUUCCCUUUAAAACAUUCUCAAAAGUCUAUGUCUUCUACCUCCACUAAUUAAAUAUAAGGUUUCUCAAGUGCAAACAUUCAUGAACUUUAGAACUUAUUUUUAAGUUAGUUAUGUUGUUUUUCUAGGUUUUAGAAAUUACUGCUAGUUUGGAAAAUGGUUCUCAAUGAACCUUGGAAUGCAAGAAUAGGAACUGAGUCAGAAUGUUCCAUUGUCAAUGACGGUCCAAUUGUGACAAAGAGCAUGGCUUUUGGAGUGAUUCUGAGCUAUGUUUGAAUCCUGACUCCAGCAUUUACUGGCUGUGUGACUUUGAAACCUCUGGAGUGUUCUAACUGGCAAAAACAAUGGUACUUUGCGGUUUUGAGCCUGGGAAACCUAAAAAAAACUUUGGCAAUUGUGUCUCUUCUCACUUCAUGGCUCUGGAAAACAAGAAGACUGCUCAGCUUGACUCCAAGAGAUGGAGUUUCACCAUGCUGCCCAGGCUGGUCUUGA
rnacentral:lncRNA from 1 species